rnacentral:lncRNA from 1 species
UCUCUCACACACACACACACACACACACACACACACACACACCAUGUGCCUCCUCACUGUGUUCCCCAGACCCCAACCCCACAUCCAGUGUCAAAGCAAAAAUUCACACACGAGAACAACCUACCCUGCCAUGCAGACAGAGGGAGAUGCGCAGUUCCAAAAGUCCUCAGCACGCCUUCCCUUUCUGAGUGAGUGGGGGAGGGAGGCGUCUUUGAGAGACUAUCUCCUGCUAUCUUUGAGGUCAGUGAAAAAGCAGGCCUUCUUGGAUGGAAGAUCUCCCUGUGUGGAAGAAAUGUUUGCAGAAUACUCUCCAGAGCAAGUACCAACCGGGUCAGGCCUGCGCCCCAGAGUGAGUUGAGGGAGCGCUCAGGUUUCCCCUUUCCCUUCCCCAGAGUGGCAAGGGCCAGAUCAGACAAAUGAGAACCAGGCUAAGCAUUUCCUAGCAACCUCGCCCCUCCCCCAACUCCAUGUGAGAGCCCUGCUCCUCCAGCAUUAACCGGCCUCCUGCCUGUCUUUGCUACCCUGACACCGGCCUGCUCUGAAGGUUCUCUGCUGGAACUCUCUGGGAACUGGAGGGCAUGCUGAGGAAGGCUCUAUAGCUUCCUGUCUUGUGUCUGGAAGAGGAACCUUCUCUUCCCAGGUCAGCUGCAAGACAGACCACCUGCUAGGCCAGCCCAGAAGUUCAGGGAGGCCUUGGACCCCAUGGCUCAGAUAUGCGGACCAGUUAACGUGCAGGGAGAUCAGAGCAUCUUCCAAACUGGGCAGAAAAACAGCACCUUGUCCUUCCUCAGCCCUGCCCAAGGCCCAGCAGAUUCCAAACCAUAACAGAUAAAGGCCUAGAGACACAGGGAAAGGUCCUACAAGCACCUCUCUGUGGAGAGCUCUCUAUGCUCUGGUCAAGUACUUGGACUUCUUCCCAGGAAGUGAGACCUGGGGUCAGGUCACCCAAACAAGACUCGUGGGUGAGAGGUAAUGUCAGUGUGGCUGACCAAGAAAGGGCUAAGGGGACUGGGGGAUCAAGUCAAAAAACAAAAAAAAACAAAAAAAAAAAAAAAAAAAAACAAACCAACUUCCAUUUUAUUUUCUUGGCGGGUUCUCUUUUUUUCCAGACUGUUAACAGAAAAAAAAAAUUUUAAAAAGAAGAAACCUAAAAACAAAACAAAACGACGAGAAAACAAAAUCCUGGUACAUGAAAUAAAGAUUUUUUUUUUAUA